AACAGCCACUACCUGCCAAGUCCUUUGCCUACUGUGUCUCAUUUAAUCUUCUCAACUUCUUACGGAGUUCAUUUCACAGACAAGAAUCCGAUGUUCAGGCUGGUGAAGGCCGGCAACAGGCUUCAUGCAGAGAAGGCAGCACCCUCAAGGAGCUCUUUUCUGCAAAGCCUUUCACUGCCUGGGAGGUGAGGUCAUUGGCUGGUAAACACUCUGCCUGGCGGUAAAUUUCCUCUGAACUUUCUGCUCCUGUUUAACCCGCCGAACCUCCAGGAGAGCUGACAGCCGAG